UGGCAGGAUCUCCAGCUUAAGGGGCCCGGGGAUAGUUCCUCAGGACAGGAACUCAGAUGGAAGGAGAAUGACAGAUGGAGAUCCUGUUGUCAGACCCGAGGCACACGAUACCACUCAGAAUUCCAGGAGCAAGGCUGUGCUGGAGCCUAGACACAAGGUCAUGACUGGCCCAGAGACAGGCGUGGCUUAAUGCUGAGUGAGUCCCCAGAGCCCCGGAGCUAGAGCCGCCUUAGUUCCUCCUGCCUCAUCGGGACUGGUCCUGGAGGCCACAGCCAGGGGAGGGGGGCCAGGGGCUCCAGCCGCGGAGGGAGAGCUGUGCUGCAGAGACCGGAAGGGGCCUGGCCCGACUGUCCCAGCGGAGGCAGCCCCCUGUGACAGCAGACAGCCAUGUAAGAGUGCUGCAGGGCAGGGGGAGCAUCUUGUUACUAUUCCACACCAGAACCUACCUGGGAGGGCUAGCAAUGGCCAACGAGCUACCAAAACGCUAGCUGUGAAUCCGGCCCGAUGUUCCUCGUGAACUCACUUGCCUUAUCUGAAGGUACGGUGUCACCACAAAAAUUAGCUCUGGCGACGACUCUGGCCCCCUACCGGGAGUCACCACAAGAUGCUCCCCACGAGUACCAACUGGGUUGAAGAGAAUGAGUGGUGUCUCCCUCCUCCUGGAAUACGUGAGGCUGUGCGUUUAGCCAAACAGCUUUGAUUCCACCAGGUACAUCCUCCAUGAGGCUGGCGGUGGUCAUCGCCUUUUGCCGUGACUCGGAAGGCCUCUCUGAUUCCUCUUGCCGCACUUGCCCAAAUUAUGACCUCUCUGUUCACUCCUCCAGCCUGCUGCUAGAGAGAGAAUGGCUUCCUUGGGCCCUCUCCCGUAGGAGCUCAGACCUGUCAUCAGUGUCUGCUUGAAUCACUCAGCCCUCUAAGCCAGCAGUGGUCCACAGAACCCCCGCUCCUCCUCCCCGAAUUCUUUGUACAACUGUGACCAGACUUCCAAUCUUUGAAAAAGGACCGAAGAUGACGAGGAAUGAGUAGAUAGCCCUGUGUAACUUGCCCUUUUCCAGCAAGGAAGCUCCAGAGGGGCAACUUCCUUCGAGAUCAAGGGGAGCGCCUGGACCUAGGGCAGCUUUCUGGAGAAUCCCACAGGACUGGACAGAUCACUGUGAUACCAAGUCGUGUUCAGGGGAGCAACGGACUUUGGGGCCCUUGUUAACAAGGCCGACCUUUCCUAGCUCUCUCUGCCCCUUGACAGCUGAGUGCCAUCACACAGGGUGUGGGCCAUCUGUGAGCUUUGUGGCCCUAACUGUCUCAUCUUGGCAAUCUAGAAAGGUCCUUUAUGAAGGGCGCCUGGGUGGCUCAGUGGGUUAAGCAUCCAACUUCGGCUCAGGUCAUGAUCUCACAGUUC